rnacentral:rRNA from 1 species
CACCGCGGUUAUACGAGAGGCCCAAGUUGAUAAACCCCGGCGUAAAGAGUGGUUAAGAUAAAUUAAACACUAAGGCCGAACGCCCCCCAGGCUGUUAUACGCAUCCGGGGGUAAGAAGUUCAACCACGAAAGUAGCCUUAUAUUUCCUGAACCCACGAAAGCUAGGACA